rnacentral:rRNA from 1 species
GACGAACGCUGGCGGCGUGCUUAACACAUGCAAGUCGAACGGAAAGGCCUCUUUCGGGGGGUACUCGAGUGGCGAACGGGUGAGUAACACGUGAGUAACCUGCCCUUGACUUUGGGAUAACUUCAGGAAACUGGGGCUAUAACCGGAUAGGAGCUCCUGUUGUAUGGUGGGGGUUGGAAAGUUUCGGCGGUUGGGGAUGGACUCGCGGCUUAUCAGCUUGUUGGUGGGGUAGUGGCUUACCAAGGCUUUGACGGGUAGCCGGCCUGAGAGGGUGACCGGCCACAUUGGGACUGAGAUACGGCCCAGACUCCUACGGGAGGCAGCAGUGGGGAAUAUUGCACAAUGGGUGGAAGCCUGAUGCAGCAACGCCGUGUGCGGGAUGACGGGCUUCGGGUUGUAAACCGCUUUCGCUCAUGACGAAGCUUUGUGUGACGGUAGUGGGUAAAGAAGCACCGGCUAACUACGUG